CCUCUUACUAAUCCAGGUAAAUCAGGAGGAGAACAAGACAGAAAUGAGGCAAGACCCUUGGCAGCCUUGGAUUCCUCUAACAGCCAACGGAAAGUGACAGUGAAGAUAGCCAACAUGGGUACAUUCUGGAGUCAAUGAAGCCUGUAUGUCAUCAUUAGGCCACACGUGACUUUUGAGGUUUUAUCAUCUAUAGUAUGCUGAGAAGACCAGUGUCAUCCAGGGGCAACAUGGAAGCUGUAACUCAGGAUGACUUCUCUCAUGUUCUCACAGUAACAUCAGGCCUUCCAGGAAAGCAUCAAGCAAAAACUGACAUUUUUCUCAGCAGGAAUCUGGAGCAAGUCAGU
rnacentral:lncRNA from 1 species